CCUCCCUCACGGAAUUUCCAAUAGCCCUCCUUGAGGUCAGGAUGGAUUUUUCCUGCAACUGAACUUAAGCAGCGGAAUUAUUUUUCACAGGGGAAAUCUUUGAGUUUAAUCAGUGGAUCUCUAACCUGGCUCAAGGAUUUUGAGGGAAGGCAACAAAAGGAGCUAGAGAAUUCUCCAGCAAGUGCAAGAAAUGUUACUGAAAACUGUAUUACUGCUGAAAGUAAAGAUCCCUCAUCAACACCAGACUGGGUGGCAGAGUUUGCUGAAAAGCAAGCCCAAAGGGAAGCAGAAGACAGAAUUAAGGAGAAAAGAGAGAGGCUUGAGGAACAGAAGUCAAAGCUUCAAAGAAUCAAGAAUGAAAUAAGAUCAUCAUAUGCUGUCAAAUCUGGAAAGAGGAAGGUUUGUUUGACCUAGAAACACAGCUUGCACCAUGGAACUGCAACACAUCCGGUGCCAAUUGUCUUGUGGACUAUAAAUUUGAAAUAACAUAAUUUAUAUUGGAACAUGACUUAUGAAAUGAAAUGGGAGGGAUGAAAUGGAAAUUGAAAUGCUCUAUUUAUUAACAAGUUUCUUCAACUUGUAAGUUAUGUCUACUCAGUAGUGCUACACUUGUAGAGAAAGACAGUAUAAUAAUUAUAUUUCAUGGAACAAAUUUAAAACUCUCAGUGGAUAUCUUAGAAUUUUAACUACAUGUAAGUUUAUUCCUAUUAUAUUUCCCUUCCCCACCUUUCUUUUAGCUUUUUAAUGAUCUUUAAAUGUAAAGCGCCACAGAUGAUAAGUGGAUCUGGCGCUAUACACUGUCAAAUAUUUUUAUUUGAAAAUAAAUAAAAUAAAUAUACAUUUAUAUAGCGUCAUUUUCCACUAAUUGUU